GGACUACAGGGGUAUCUAAUCCCGUUUGCUCCCCUGGCUUUCGCGCCUCAGCGUCAGAAGAGGUCCAGCACGCCGCUUUCGCCACCGGCGUUCCUUCCGAUAUCUACGCAUUUCACCGCUCCACCGGAAGUUCCGCAUGCCCCUACCUCCCUCGAGGCCGCCAGUAUCAAAGGCACUUCCGCAGUUGAGCUGCGGGCUUUCACCCCCGACUUGGCGGCCCGCCUACGCGCCCUUUAAGCCCAGUGAAUCCGAACAACGUUCGCACGGUUCGUCUUACCGCGGCUGCUGGCAC
rnacentral:rRNA from 1 species